AAUCCCUACCCUGGAAACUCAUCUGUACCAGAUCGGCUCAUGGCCUCAAUUUCGCCAUGCCGCCGACCAAGGGCGGCGAGACCAUAAACGUCGUCCAUCCAUCCUCAAAGAUCCACAAGACCCUCUGAUGGCGCAGGGAAACUGAAUGCCUUCGGCACCGCCACCGCCGUUGGCGAGCUCUUGCCGGAAGAGGCGCUGAGAGCUGAGCUCGACCUCACGCCCAGCGGCGUCCCAUCGCUGCUGCAGGUGACGACCUAUCGACCUCAAAAUCACCUCCGGCCUUGUUCGAUUUCAGGCCAUUAAGUAAGUCGUCUACCUUUUCUAGAAAACCAGUAGUCUAUAACAACUGCAGAUUAUAAUGACUGAUAUUGGUCAGGAGAUGGUGUCUGCUUGUAUUCAACUUGCUCUGGCUUGGGCAAGAUUCUUCAGUCCGAUUGUUCUUCGGUGGUGUCAUCAAUCAAAAAAUAAGCUGUGAUGUCUCUGUAUGUACCAGUCACAAAGAAAUUAGCUUGUUCCAUGAUGUACUUUGUGAUGUUCGAGUGAAUAAAGUUGGCAUCCUAAAUAUGGGUGUAGGUAGUGUAUGCUUGUAAAUGACUGUCUGUUCAUGAAUAAAGUUAUCGCUGUGAAGGCAAGCCAAA